UAGGGAAUCUUCCACAAUGGACGCAAGUCUGAUGGAGCAACGCUGCGUGAGUGAAGAAGGUCUUCGGAUCGUAAAACUCUGUUGUUAGAGAAGAACACGAGUGAGAGUAACUGUUCAUUCGAUGACGGUAUCUAACCAGCAAGUCACGGCUAACUACUUACCAG
rnacentral:rRNA from 1 species